AUUGAACGCUGGCGGCAGGCCUAACACAUGCAAGUCGAGCGAGCGGCGGACGGGUGAGUAAUGUCUGGGAAACUGCCUGAUGGAGGGGGAUAACUACUGGAAACGGUAGCUAAUACCGCAUACCAUCAGAUGUGCCCAGAUGGGAUUAGCUAGUAGGUGGGGUAACGGCUCACCUAGGCGACGAUCCCUAGCUGGUCUGAGAGGAUGACCAGCCACACUGGAACUGAGACACGGGCCAGACUCCUACGGGAGGCAGCAGUGGGGAAUAUUGCACAAUGGGCGCAAGCCUGAUGCAGCCAUGCCGCGUGUAUGAAGAAGGCCUUCGGGUUGUAAAGUACUUUCAGCGGGGAGGCGUUACCCGCAGAAGAAGCACCGGCUAACGCCGUGCCAGCAGCCGCGGUAAUUC
rnacentral:rRNA from 1 species